rnacentral:rRNA from 1 species
GACGGGGGAAGCAAGCGUUAUCCGGAAUCACUGGGCGUAAAGCGGCUGUAGGUGGUGAUGCAAGUCACUGGUGCAAAACUCUGGCUCAACCGGAGGAAAGCCAGUGAAACUGCAUGACUAGAGUGUGGGAGAGGUAGAAGGAAUUCCCUGAGUAGCGGUGAAAUGCGUAGAUACAGGGAAGAACACCGGAGGCGAAAGCGUUCUACUGGAACACAACUGACACUGAGAGACGAAAGCUAGGGGCUCGAAUGGG